AGGAUGCAUCGUCUGGAACAAAAAAUAAUUCGUUGAGAUUAAAAAAUAACCCCUAGGGCAAGUUUUCUAAACUACUGGAAAAGAAAAUAUGUUAAAAACGUUUUUAACUGAUUCUUUAGAUAGCUUAGAAAGUCCAUUUAAAAGAAGAAAUUUCGUUGCCGUGAUUAAGAGAGGACCUACGGUCGAGAAAUUACUCCACUUAUACGUCUAUGCUGUACGACGGUCUCGGGAGGACUCCGCUUGCAACUAAUUUUUGGUGCUUAUCACGUUCCCGUCCAGCGGUCCUUUUUCAUUUUGCCCCCAUGGAUUCUCUGCGGUAACUCUAUCCUGUGGUUUCUAAUAAUAUUACGUGACUCUAAUCUCGAAAUAAUAAUCGAGAUCCUUGUUAUGUAAAAAAAAUCACAUUUUUGUGACCAGUUUUUUGAAGUUGAAAACUUUUCCAAGUAUGCGGGCGGUUAGGACUUUUAAUAUGUUUAUAAUAUGUCAUUCAAACAAUA